rnacentral:lncRNA from 1 species
UAUUGGAAGAGUCAACUCGAACGCUUAUAGCUGAUCUGAACUGAACUGCACGAGGCAUUGUAAAAUGUGCACACAAGAUUUUUGUAUUUCUUGAAAUGACAUAUUAUCUUCUAUUAUUAUUGUCAUAAAUGAUAUAGUUAUUGUUGUCAUAAAUUGUUGUCAUAAAUAGUAUAAUUAUUGAAUAUACUUAUAUAAAUAGUGUUGCAUUGAUUUUUGACAGGCUGAUAAUUUUAUACAAGCUAAAGACGACCAUUUUUUAAAUAUAAUUUUACUUUAGUGCUCUACCAACAAUCAUAAAUUUACUUUAUCUACAAUAAAAUAUGGUUUUAACUUAAAGUAAACUUUUGUCAUUUAAACUUUACUAUGUUGAUCAUUACCUAAUAGU